AUCCACAAAGCAUGAAAGAUGAUGUGCGUUUCAUUCUUCUUAUACUGAGCAUGUUUUGUAGUUUUGUUCAUUCCCUCACGAUCCAAACUCUUCACCUCCAAGCUCCAACAGCCACCUACACAAAGAAGGGCAUUCAUUUGCUUUUAUUUCUUUAUCAAAUUGUCCAUACAAGACAUUUUUAAUUUCUUUUAUUCAUUUCUUUUGUCCAAUCCGUGCUGGUCUUUUCAUGUUCCCUUACAGAAAAGGGGGCAAGAAGGCAUUGUAUGUUCUCUAAUUACUUAUCAAUGCUUUUAUAUUAUUAUUAUGCUAGGAACCUCUUUUGAAGAUCGAGAUAAAUAAUCCUGCUUUGCUAGCUGGAAAUUGGACUCAACUCUGUGCAACAUGCAAGA
rnacentral:misc_RNA from 1 species